GAGAAGGAAAGCCCCAAGGAGAAGAGGAGGAAACAAAGAAAAAUUGGUUCUUCCACCCAUGAAUGGACGAUGGAAGACCGGUGAUGAAGGCAAGACCCUUCCGGGGGUUGAAGAGCCACCACCCUCGGGCUUUAGGGUGGGGUCGGAGCACAAAAAAUGCCCGGAAGAGUGAAACGCGGGGGUUGGUCGGCAAGAGCUGACACAACAGCAN
rnacentral:lncRNA from 1 species